UUUCAUUUUCUAUGAACUAUGAAGAUUGACCUCAUCGGGACCUUUUCAUCAGAUCAGCUGCGCGAACGAAUGAAGAGAUCCCCUGUUUUGGAAAAUCUCACCCCUACCGUCUGGCGACGAAUGGACUGCGCGUACCGUUCGACUCUUCGUGUAGCUCUCGCGCUCGAUCGAGCUUGGACGACACCUCCUUGCUUGGCGGCCUUAGCUUUCCCAUCGCUUCCGCGCGCCGCGUACCGUUCGUUUCCGUACGGUGUAUUAAAGCGGAUGUGUUCGUGUAUUUUGUAUGGGAAAGUGAUAAUGGUGAUCGUGCAAUUUGUCAACUUCUUCAGACUCUCAUAACCUCAAAAUUUGAUUGAGGGCUGGAAACCAAGGGAGGAGCAAGCAAAGUUGGAUGUUGGAAGCCUCUCAGACUUUGGCUUGUUGGUUGCAUCCCAGCGACCUUGUCCCCGACUCACCAACUCACUCUCAGCAUGCUACAGAACUUACUCUUCAUCGUAUGUUGCCACUAAAGCUAGCCUCAUCCAUUUUAGUUGUUGGAAGAACGUUUGCAUGUUUCAUUCGCUCUGCACUGUCAGACUUGUCAGUCCAUCACCACUCACUUUUAUCCCGUUUUUGGUUCACUUUCUUUUGACCUAACGUUCCAAAGAAUGUCAUCUCAUUUGCUGAGUCCGCCCAAAGAUGCACCUGCCCGUCGGCUGAGCCGCAGCGCGGAGAAUCUUGCCUCCGGAGGGCUGUCUACCCCGCUGCCCUCCAACGUUCAGACGGGCCGGCCAUCAUCGCCUCAGCUUUCAUCAACAUUCUCCCGAGGUAAGACAGAAAACAUUCAUCAAAGUAAUCCUCCAUUUUAUAUUGAUCAUCUGUUUGCACAAAGUUAUAUUUUGUUUGACAGAGAGAAUGAGAUGAAGAGAGAGAGAGGGGGACGGGGAUCGAGAGAGG